UCGGGCAGAGGGAUCUCCUUGCCAACAAGCCAGAAGCAUGUAAAAGAAAAUCAAACCAAUUGGGGUCGUCCUUUUAGCCGAUCUUUUUCAUGCCCACUACUUCUUCCAAACGGAACCCUUUGCCAAGGAAAAAACUGGGGCAACUUUGUGAGUCUCAAAUUUUUCAACCCAUGACCCAAUAUUGGGGCAGCUUUGUGAGUUUCAUACAACCCAUGACCCAAGACUGGGGCAGCUUUGUGAGUCUCGUACAAAUUUUUCAUCAACCCGUGAUACGAAGACUGGGGCAGAUUUGCAAGUCUCAUUUGAUUUGUUCACCCUUAUUUUCAUGGAUCCAUACCCCUAUGCUCAUUUUCCCAAACACUAAACCAAGGCAAAAUUUUUUGGUAUAUCUUGUUUCAUCUUAGCACUAACAUAUUACAUCUCCUUUGAGGAUUGUAGUACCCAUGUGCCGGUCCCAG
rnacentral:lncRNA from 1 species